rnacentral:rRNA from 1 species
GUACCGCGGCUGCUGGCACGGAGUUAGCCGGGGCUUCUUCUCCCGCUACCGUCAUCAUCUUCGCGGGUGAAAGCGCUUUACAACCCUAAGGCCUUCUUCACGCACGCGGCAUUGCUGGAUCAGGGUUUCCCCCAUUGUCCAAUAUUCCCCACUGCUGCCUCCCGUAGGAGUCUGGGCCGUGUCUCAGUCCCAGUGUGGCUGAUCAUCCUCUCAGACCAGCUACCGAUCGUCGCCUUGGUGGGCCGUUACCCCUCCAACUAGCUAAUCGGACGCGGGCUCCUCCCAGAGUGGCCGAAGCCUUUCCCCCUCAGGGCGUAUGCGGUAUUAGCCGCCGUUUCCAGCGGUUAUUCCACGCUCCAGGGCAGAUACCCACGCGUUACUCACCCGUCCGCCACUAGAUCCGAAGAUCUCGUUUGACUUGCAUGUGUUAGGCAUGCCGCCAGCGUUCGUUCUGAGCCAGGAUCAAACUC